rnacentral:rRNA from 1 species
AACGUAGGGGGCCAGCGUUGCUCGGAAUUACUGGGCGUAAAGGGUCCGUAGGCGGUGCGGCAAGUCGGAAGUGAAAUCUCCGGGCUUAACUCGGAGGCUGCUUCCGAAACUGCUGUGCUAGAGUGCGAGAGAGGCAAGUGGAAUUGCGGGUGUAGCGGUGAAAUGCGUAGAUAUCCGCAGGAACAUCCGAGGCGAAAGCGGCUUGCUGGAUCGCAACUGACGCUGAGGGACGAAAGCUAGGGGAGCAAACAGG